ensembl:snoRNA
CUGGCCCUGAAUCAAGGCCAGCAGCCUCCUGACGCUGUUGGUUUCAAGCAGGAGCCUAAAGACAUGUCUUUCCAUGGUCUGUUGGCCAUUUCAGAACUUGGGCAGUGAAAUGGUCAAUUCAUUAGAGAGAAACAGCU